CCAGCUCCAUGAGGGGUCCCGGUUCCCCCGCCCCAGCUCCAUGAGGGGAUCCCGGUUCCCCCGCCCCAAAUCUUUGAGAGGUCCCGGUUCCCCCGCUGCGGCUCCUUGAGGGAUCCCGGUUCCCCCGCCCGGGUCUGGGGUCCCCCCAGGGCGCCCCCUGGGCUCCUCCACACGAGGGGUUCUCAGAAGUGUGGGGCUUCUUUUGUGCUUAAACUUCUGAGCUGUCUUCUGGUUAAUGUGCCCUGGCAGCUGGGCAUUCUUGCUGUCAUUUAUACAUUUGCUUGAGUGUUUCUGAUCGAUUUCUAGCUGGAGAUUGAGGAGUGUGGAAUGAGUAUUACAGGAGUAUUGUAGUAAUUGGAGCCUUCCCAGGAUCACAAAGUUACUGAGAUUGGAAAAUCCCUCCAGGAUCAUCGAGUCUGAGCUGUGCCCGAUGCCCACUUUGUCCCCAGCCCAGAGUGCCACUUCCAUCCUUCCUUGGACACCUCCAGGGACGGGGACUCCAAACCUCCCUGGCCACUUCCAAGGCCUGGCCGCCCUUUCCAUGAGGAAAUUCCUGCUGCUGUCCAAGCUGAGCCUCCCCUGGCCCAGCCUGAGGCCGUUCCCUCUCCUCCUGUCCCUGGGAUAACAUCCCAAAUCCCAAAAUCCCAAAUCCCCCUGGCUGCUCUCUCCUAUCAGGGAAUUAUGCAAAGCCAGGAAGUCACAGACACCACUUGAUUUUUUAUUUUUUUAUUAACCUAACAUCAGUUUGUAGAAAUAAAUACAGCUCCUACAUCCCAUGAGAGAGCCCUCGUGUUCUGAAACACCAUUGAUGCCUCCAGCUCUGUAAUUAUCCCUGAGCCAGGUAAAAUCCAAAAUUAAAAAAAAAAAAUAAAUCCAUGGCUCCAGAAUGUUGUCUUGGAUUUUUUUUAUUCCAAAUCAGAGGGGCUGGCAGGGUGAGGCAGCCACCACACAGCACUCAGGGUUUUACCAGCCUCAGCACAACCACCUUCCUGCUCAGGGGUUCUUACACACUGCAGAUGUUUCAACUAAAUAUCAGCAUCCUCUCAAUCUGCAGGUUUGCCUUUUUAUUAUAAAUAUCGUGAUGAGGUGUGACAAGGGUGGGGAAUGUGGAAAACAUUGGAGGUGCAUGUGGAUAUAACUGUGGAGGAACGUUCUGGAAAUCAAUCUCAAAUUAUGUAUCUAAAAUGUAACGAGCAGAUUUCUUGAAGUUGUACUUCGGGUCGUUUUUUUUUUAAAAAAUAAAAUAAAAGCGUAAUUUUCUUUAGCAA